AGAGUUUGAUCAUGGCUCAGGACGAACGCUGGCGGCGUGCUUAACACAUGCAAGUCGAACGAUGAAGCCCAGCUUGCUGGGCGGAUUAGUGGCGAACGGGUGAGUAAUACGUGAGCAACCUGCCUUUAACUCUGGGAUAAGCCUUGGAAACGGGGUCUAAUACCGGAUACGACCAACCCUCGCAUGAGGUGUUGGUGGAAAGGGAUUUUGUACUGGUUUUAGAUGGGCUCACGGCCUAUCAGCUUGUUGGUGAGGUAACGGCUCACCAAGGCGACGACGGGUAGCCGGCCUGAGAGGGUGACCGGCCACACUGGGACUGAGGCACGGCCCAGGCUCCUACGGGAGGCAGCAGUGGGGAAUAUUGCACAAUGGGCGCAAGCCUGAUGCAGCGACGCCGCGUGAGGGAUGACGGCCUUCGGGUUGUAAACCUCUUUCAGCAGGGGAGAAGCGAAAGUGACGGUACCUGCAGAAGAAGCGCCGGCUAACUACGUGCCAGCAGCCGCGGUAAUACGUAGGGCGCGAGCGUUGUCCGGAAUUAUUGGGCGUAAAGAGCUUGUAGGCGGUUUGUCGCGUCUGCUGUGAAAGCCCGGGGCUUAACCCCGGGUUUGCAGUGGGUACGGGCAGACUAGAGUGCAGUAGGGGAGACUGGAAUUCCAUGUGUAGCGGUGAAAUGCGUAGAUAUAUGGAGGAACACCGGUGGCGAAAGCGGCUCUCUGGUCUGUAACUGACGCUGAUGUGCGAAAGCGUGGGGAUCAAACAGGAUUAGAUACCCUGGUAGUCC
rnacentral:rRNA from 1 species